rnacentral:rRNA from 1 species
UCUGACACAGGUGCUGCAUGGCUGUCGUCAGCUCGUGUCGUGAGAUGUUGGGUUAAGUCCGUACGAGCGCAACCCUUGUCCUUAGUUGCCAGCAGUUCGGCUGGGCACUCUAAAGGGACUGCCGGUGUUAAACCGGAGGAAGGUGGGGGAUGACGUCAAGUCCUCAUGGCCUUUAUGACCAGGGCUACACACGUACUACAAUGGCCGAUACAAAGGGCAGCGACACUGCGAGGUGAAGCCAAUCCCGUAAAAUCGGUCUCAGUCCGGAUUGGAGUCUGCAACUCGACUCCAUGAAGUUGGAAUCGCUAGUAAUCGUGGAUCAGCAUGCCACGGUGAAUACGUUCCCGGGCCUU